UGGUUCUUGCAGGUUCAGCCAGCUCCUUUUUUCCAUAACCAGCAGAAUAUGUUGUUGCACAGUUGGCCUCUCUUUGAGCCUCCCGUCUCCAGGCUUCCCCGGCAUGGCGUUGGAUUUCUUCAAAAGCUUGAGGAGAGAGAGGACUAAAGGGCAAAGGCAAUUCAGGAGCUAAGAAGAGAUAGCUCAUCCUGGAUGCAGCUCAUAGAUUCUGAGCAGCAACUUUACCUUACUUUAGAAAUAACUUUCCUCUGCUGAUGAGUGCUAGAGGUGACCAAGCCUAACUUUAACAAGGUUAAGGAAAAGGAAAGUGCUUUGCUGCUGUUGAUAAAAGUUGCUAAGCAACAGGUCAUAAAAACUCUACCAGCACUACAACCAGCAAAAGAAGAAAAAGCAAUUAGCAAACUACAAACUGGAUUUUUGUAUAUAUUUAUAUAACCGCUGAGAGGAAAUAUUUAAAAAUAUGACUUGUUAGUGCACUGUCUAUGCGUGCAGAGACAAUUUUUUAUUCUUCUUCUAUGCGUACUAGCAUCACAAUCAGUCAAAGGACAGGUCAGCUGAAUAGUCUUCCCUUUGACACUUCCUUUUGUUUAUUUUUUCAUAGCAAAAAUGAGGAAGGUGGUGGUAAAAUAGCAAAUAAAGCUAUAUAGUAGGAAUAUAUAGAGUGAUUGAUAAAAAAUAAAGGCCUUAAAGUGAGCUUAAAUUACAUUUAUGUAAAUAAGAAUAAAGCCUUAGCUAAUUACUUUACAACAGUAUUGCAAUAAGGGAAGCAUUUACUUUUCAGUGUCAACUACUGUGUAACACACAUUGUAAAGUUUCUCAUUUUUGUUACAGGUGAAUAGACAUCAUUUACUCAAACAUCUAAGAUUUUAGUACCCAGAUGCCCCAACUGAGAUCAUAGCCCCAUUGCACAAAAAGAUCAGAAAGGCUGCACCAUGCUUCAUGUGUAUUCAGAGCUUCAAAAUGGACUGAUAGAGCGUUAUUUGAGAAAUGGUACGUGACAUCAUAAUACUGAAUUAUAAUAUAUAUAUGCCAAAGAGGCUGGAGUUAAAGUUAUACAUCCACCCUCAAUUUUGUAAUUUACUGAUUUAAGUGGUUUGCUUUGCCAAUUUUGUGUAUGAAAUCGAUUAUCCAGCUAUCUGUUAGGGAAAAUAUGUAUCCAAGGAAAGGUAUUGCUAUCAGAGUCUUAAACUAUGUGAAGAUCUAUUUCUUAUUCCUAAAACUGGAUAAAACAGAAAAGGGGUGGUACAGAUUUUUCUCUGAACAUCCAUGAAAAAUAGAAUAAAAAAUGUGGAGUUAUGGAGAAAACUGAGGAAGUGAUCAUGUCUACUGCAGUGUGGAGGGAGCUGAUACCAUAGCAAGACUUGGCUACUGUUUAAAAGCAAACAUUAGGAAGGGAGUUCUCCAAGGUUAAAAAAAUAAUUUCAUUUACAUACAG